UACGGAGGGGGCUAGCGUUGUUCGGAAUUACUGGGCGUAAAGCGCACGUAGGCGGCUUUGUAAGUUAGAGGUGAAAGCCCAGGGCUUAACCCUGGAAUUGCCUUUAAGACUGCAUCGCUAGAAUCGUGGAGAGGUGAGUGGAAUUCCGAGUGUAGAGGUGAAAUUCGUAGAUAUUCGCAAGAGCACCAGUGGCGAAGGCGGCUCACUGGCCCGAUACUGACGCUGAGGCACGAAAGCGUGGGGAGCAAACAGG
rnacentral:rRNA from 1 species